UUGUAAUCUUGUUUAGUCCGCCUUUGACCACAAGGUUUAGAGGAAAAAAAUCCUAAAUUUAUUUCCCUUUCCCAUUCCCGUUCUUCUUCUUUCUCCCUCCUUUCUUUCCCACUGUUUCUCUGCUAAGCCUAGGUAAAACCACCAUCGCCACCUGGUUUCACCUUCACCAUCACCUUGUUUCUGCUACCUCCAUGAAGACCAGCACAUAUUCAUGUACUUUAGUAUUUGUGUAAACAUUUAUUGAUUAAACAAAUUUCUAUAAUUUGCCUAAAUUUUUUUUUAUGGUCUAUGGAUUAAAGGUGCUUAUUCGAUUCGGUGAUUGUUCCAAAGUUUAGCAGGUAACUUCCCCUAUGGAGCAGCAGGGUAAAACAAAGCUUCAAGCCUUCAGUCUUUGCAUCUGUUCAACUAAUUGACUAGUGACUACUAUUGGUUUUCCAAUGCGGAAGAUAGAAAUGGAAUUUUGGGGGGGUAGAACUAGAACCGGUAAAACCUUACAGGCACAGGUACAAUGAAUCUUUGGGAAGGCUCCGCAUUUCUCAGUUUCCAUGGGGAAAGAGAGAGGCAAAGGAUUACUCGCAGGGAAAGUGAUAGGAAAAGGAUUACUCGCAGGGAAAGUGAUAGGCAAAGGAUUACUCGCACAAAAGAAAGAUAAAAGCCCCCUGAAGAUAGCGAAAUUGGAGAAAGAGAGAGGCAAAGUAUUACUCACACAAAAGAAAGAUAAAGGUUCCCUGGCGAAAUUGGAGAAAGAGAUAGGCAAAGGAUUACUCGCACAAAAGAGAGAUAAAAUCCCCCUGAAUAUGGCGAAGUUUGAGAAGGAGAAGCGGAAUCUAUACGAGCAUCUAGAACGUAAGGCCGAAGAAGCAUAAGUUAGCGAUGAAGUGUGGAAGAGGCUCCAUUUUAGGGUAUCUGGUUGUGAAACUUUAGCCGAAGUAAUCUAUCGAUUGGGUUUCCAGGUUCCAACCAAUUUGGAAAGCAAAAAAGAGCUAGGAACAAUUGUCAAGAAAUAAGACGCUUUCUGUAUCCUGAUAGGAACAUGAUGCUCGAUCCAUAUGAACGAAUUGAAAGAUGUCAGAAACUAAAAAUUAUUAACAGUUGGAGCUUGAAGGUCAAAUAGAUCUUUUUAUCUGUUUUGUUGGUUCUGGUGAAAGUUCUGAAGUGGGGCAUUUACAUAUAUUUACUGUUUAUUCUACAACAAGAAACCUGCUUUGUCUUUGUGUU